AGGUCACGCACAGAGCUGAUCCGGAAGAAGAUUUUAACCACGUUGUUUUGGUUUUGUCAGCGCGAGCUAGCUAACAUUUCGCUUUUAAUCCCCUAACUAAAUAUUCUUCAGCCAUUGGGAAGUAAUUUGCAAAUUGUAAGUGCAAUAAAGAUUUUCCAUCCUGCAUCGAAGUCAAAUAUAUAAAUAGGUGGGUGGCUAAAUAGUUGUUCUAGCCCAGCCUUCCUCACUAGCUGUUGGUGGGAGAUGAUCGUGUGAAGAAUGGUCUCAACUUCAUGUAUGAAGCUCCACCUGGGGCAGACAAAGGAAGGAGAAUCAGAAUACAAGUUUGAGUGGCAAAAGACGUCCCCUCGAGGGAAGUCCGUCGAUGCACCCCUCCGAGUUAAUGGCAGAGAUGCGAAACAGUGGGUUUGCCCUGAAGAAAUGUGUCCUUGGAAGAAAUUCUACUGUUUGUGAUCCAUCGCAGGAGUACGCUGUCAAUGAAGAAGAGGAGGAUCCUGAGGUUGAAUUCCUGAAGUCGUUGACCACUAAAAAGAAAGAGAAGCUCCUCAGGAAACUUGGUCGUCUACAAAAGAAGAGUGAAGGAAAUCAGAAGAAGGACCGUGAUAGUAGUGACAGCUCCAGUGAAAGUAGCAGCUGUGACUGACUGACAGCUCCAGUGAGAGUAGCAGCUGUGACUGACUGACAGCUCCAGUGAAAGUAGCAGCAGUGACUGACUGACAGCUCCAGUGAAAGUAGCAGCUGUGACUGACUGACAGCUUCAGUGAAAGUAGCAGCAGUGACUAAGAGUCUGAAGAGAAAGAAGAAAGGCAAGAGAAAGGACUCCUGUCGUGAUGACAACACUGAGAGUGAUGGAUGAGUCUAGAGUAAGACCAGGCCCAACCUCCAGACAGAAACAGCACAAAGAUGAUACCAGAGAGGAGAAAGAAACAGUAGAGAUGAGACACGACAGCAGGGAGAGGCAGAGAACCAGCAGCAGCUCCCAGCCUGGCCCAAACAAAAGUAGAAGGAGAGAGAUAUAAAGACAAGGUUCACAGUAGAGAUGAGGCAAACAGUAGAAGAGAGAUGGAUAGAAGUAGGAGCAGAGAUGGAGCAAAGAAUAAAGCAGCCGCAAAGGGAGGAGUAGGAUCCUAGAUGGAGGGAGGGAGAGGGGGGGCAAAGGGAGGAGCAGAAGCAGAGGGAGGGAGAAUGAGAAAAGAGCCAGAGGGAGAGCUGAGAGAAAGCACUGAACUGUGAGAGUAGACAAUCUUACAAAGUGGGCCAGUGAUACCAUUUUAUUUUACUGAUGUAAACAUUUUUGACACGUUUUGACGAUUUUAUGAUGCUAUUGUUAAUAUGUACAGUUUUCUUGGUGGGCCCACUUAUUAAACAAACACAUAGAAACCAACGUUUUUGGUUCUGUUGCAAAAUGUUGAGAAGAAGCAAACUGAAUGAAACCGGGAGGGGCCUACCUGAAUUUGACCAAUAGAAACUGUUCAAAAUGUUCCAUUUUGCUACUGUUAGGACUAGUGAUUACACCCCUGCUCCUCAAAUAGUUCUUAUUUUCAUCCACUAGAGGGCAGCAGUAGACCUAAAAUAACUUGAACCACAGAAAUAUUUUGCAUUUGUCAUAUUAUUGAACAAAUGCAUGUCUUGCAUGCACUAUUAUUGAUGGUUGUCACUUUAGUCCAGAAAACCCUCUUCAGAAUUCUAAUAAAAAAUAUUAUUGCAACUCGAAUUUUAAAAA